rnacentral:lncRNA from 10 species
AAACCUUUACCAGCUCCUCCUGCCUAAAGGUGAAGUCUACCAAAGUCCACAUUCCUGAGUGUGGAAGGUGAUCCUUUGCAGCCUGGCCCCAGCUCACCUGUUCAGCCUCCUCCUCCGACACCCUCAGGAAACCCCCUGCCUUCUGGCCCCAUCUAAUGCAUCUUGAUGUUCCCAGAAUGCAUCAGUGUCCACCCAGCGCCUGGCACAGUCCACAUCUCCUGGAUUGAGCUGUUAAGGCAGUGAGGACGGGGAACACGCUCAUGAUUCCUGGGAAUUCGACAGAGACAGAUAAGCAUCAGCUACUUUUGGUCUGGUGAUUUUCAACAAGAUUGUCUGGUGCAAAGACCCAGUUCAUCUCUCACCAGCCGAUACGUAGUUUGGAACUCAGUCUGAGCCAAUCUUCCCAGUUCCAGCAGGAUGCCUGCAGGAUGGAAAAUGACAGGGGAAAAGAGUUGCUUUAUGUGCACAUUUUAAAAGGAACCAUGUAAUUCUAUGCUCCUUGAAGCUACUUCUUAUUUAAUAAACUGAAGAUCUAAAUUCCAAGUAGUAUUUUGCUCUAGAACAUGCACAGAUUUCCAAGGAGGUUAGCGUUUGGGAGAAGAGACCAGAGAAAUACUCAGGUUUCAUCUAAAAAUACAACUGUUCCCCCCACCCCGUGGGGAUCACACGCCAUGUUUGUGAAACUGGCGUGUGACACAGCAGGUUUGUGGCUACAGCAGAAGGAAACCUCUUCUUUAUUCUCCAGGGAAUAUUCAACACUAACAUUGCUGGGUGGGGUGGGGGCUGGUUUGCCCCCAGUCCUAAGAUGAAAUCUCUCACAGCCAUGUGACCUUCCAGCAGCUCUUGGAUAAGAAAAAUCCUCCGGUCACUUCAAGUCCACAGUGCUCUGUUUGUGACAGGGACCCCUUGAAGUUAAAAUUCUUCCCAGCCAGUAGCCUUCCUGUCUGCCGGCCUCCCUCCCACUCCCUGGGCUGCCUGGACUCCUGCAGGGUGAAGUGGGAGGAGGGGCGGUACCCCUGUCAGCCCCCACCAUCAUUUCCUUUGGCUGUGUAAAUAUUUCAAGCGAAUUUUUCUCCUGUGAGGGGCUGAAGCAUUCCUUGGAGACUUCCUGGAAGCUGGGGUGUUGCUCACUUGAGGGGGUGAGGACAUCUUCAGCGGACGCCUGGGUUCCCUGGCUCAGCCAUUUCUCCUGGUGGCCCCCCUGGGCAGUUCCUUCUCAGGGUCCGUGUCCAGUCCAUGGGAAGCACUCAUGCAUCCUUUGUCCCAGGAGGUGGCACUCUCCCCAGGGAAGCCACCUUUCCUUGUUCUUUUUUUGUUUGUUUGUUUUUGAAACAGAGUCUCGCUCUGUUGCCCAGGCUGAAGUGCAGUGGCACGAUCUCGGUUCACUGCAACCUCUGCCUCCCGGGUUCAAAUGAUCCUCAUGCCUCAGCCUUCCUAGUAGCUGAGAUUACAGGUGUGCACUGCCACACCUGGCUAAUUCUUGUAUUUUUGUAGAGAUGGGGUUUUGCUAUGUUGGCCAGGCUGGUCUUGAACUCUUGCAAUCAAGCGAUCUUCCCGCCUGGGCCUCCCAAAAAUGCUGAGAUUACAGGUGUGAGCCACUGCACUCAGCCUCACCUUUUCUUGUUUUGACUUCAGGUCUUCUUGCCUUUAGGAUUUCUCAGGCAGGUGACAGACACCAGUUGUCAGGUCCCCAAGCUCUUGGGUACCUCUGACAGCUCUCUGAAGGGUCUCCUUGAAGUCCUUCUUACUAGGCCCCCCUUGUUUCAUCCACAGCAGGGACGGGAUGGGGAAGAAAAGUACCCCAGCAUCCAAGCACUGUCUCAAAAGAAGUUCUGUCGGCCAGGCGCAGUGACUCACGCCUGCAAUCUCAGCAUUUUGGGAGGCUGAGACAGGCGGAUCACCCGUCAGGAGGUCAAGAGUUUGAGACCAGCCUGGCCAACAUGGUGAAACCUCGUCUCUACUAAAAAUACGAAAAAAUUAGCUAGGCGUGGUGGCAGCCGCCUGUAAUCCCAGCUACUCAGGAGGCUGAGGCAGGAGAAUCCCUUGAACCUCGGAGGUGGAGGCUGCAGUGAGCCAAGAUAGGCGUCACUGCACUCCAGCCUGGGCACUAAGAGCGAAACUCUGUCUCAAAAAAAAAACAAACAAAAAGUCAUCUCUCAUUCUAACCUCUCUUGACCUUGCCACCUUCUGCCCUAGGGGCGGUCACAGGUUCCCGGAAGCCUCUUUGCAGGCCCCGGUGAGCUGGUUCAGUACCUCACUUCAGAACAUUGGAGUUGUUGGCACCUACUGGUUUGUUUUCCGCCUCAGGAGUUUUGCCAGAAUUGAAACAGUAUCUUUUUUAUUUUUAUUUUUUGAGACAGAGUCUUGCUCUAUCUACCCAGGCUGGAGUGCAGCGGCUGGAUCUCAGCUCACUGCAACCUCUGCCUCCUGGGUUCAAGCAAUUCUCCUGCCUCAGCCUCCCAAGUAGCUGAGUUUACAGGCAUGUGCCACCACACCUGGCUCAUGUUUGUAUUUUAGUAGAGACAGGGUUUCGCCUUGUUGCCCAGGCUGGCCUUGAACUCCUGAUCUUGGGUGAUCUGCCUGCUUCAGCCUCCCAAAGUGCUGGGAUUACAGGCGUAAGCCACUGUGCCCAGCCAAAACAGAAUCAUUUUUAACGUCUUGUUCCAUUAUAUUUGCUGAAGGUAGCAGGACCAGGAGAUAGUUGUAAUAGCAUAGCUGGUCUUCUUUGGUUUAUUGAUAUUCUAGGCAUUUCCAGUGUCCUACUGGAAGCUACUAGUGGCUUCAAAAGUUGCUGGUCACCUCAUGGUCAUAAAUGGCUGCCGCUGCUCUGGGAAUCACACCCAGAGUCAAGUCUGUCUUCUUAAAAAUAUAUGAAAAUGGCUACAUCCAGACCAUGGAAUAUUAUUCAGUGGAAAUGAGCUAUCAAGCCGUGAACAAACAUGGAGGAAAGGUAAAUGCGUAUUAUUAAGUGAAAGAAGCCGCUCUGAAAAGGCUAUGUUCCGUACGAUUCCAACUAUGUGACACUCUGGAAAAAGCAAAGCCUUGGGGACCAGGGGUUGGGGGAGGAAGAGGUUAGCAGGCGGAGCAUGGAGGAUUAUCAGGCGCUGAAAUUACUCUGUAUGACACAGCAAUGGCAGGUACACGUCAUUGUACAUUUGUCAAAUCGCACAGAAUGUACGACACCAAGAGUCUGUAAUGUAGAUGAUGGACUUUGGGUGAUAAUGAUGUGUGAAUCGUUUCAUCGACUGUCAGAUGAAUCAGCUGCAGGGUGUUGACAGAGCGGGAGGCCGUGGGUAUGUUGGGUAAGGAAGUCUAUGGGACCUCUGCAUUUUCUGCUCAAAUUUGCUGUGAACUAAAACUGCCUAAAAUAUAAAGUCUGUUUAAAUAAAUAAAUAUGUAUGUAUGAAAGAAUGAAAAUUGGUGGAAUAGAGAGGCCUGGGUAUAUUUUUUCUUAGAAGUCCAGCCCAUUUGAGUCCCAAGAUCUGCCAACAGAUCCUUCCUCCACGUCUGAAAUGAUGUUGCGUCAGGCAGAGGCACACAGCCCCGACUGUCUCCAGUACAGACAUUUCUUCAGGCCACUUCACCUUCCUCUGCUUACAGCUCCCUCCGGGCAGGCGCGGGGCCUGCCUGUGCUCAUCCUGCAGGCAGAGAACAUUGCCAGAGAACACCACCACUAAUGGGAAGACUGCCCCCUGACCGGCACAUGGCCUCAGCAUUCAUCCACAGAUGCUCCUCAAAUUGUUUUAAAAACAGCUUUUUUUAAAAGCUGUUUGUCUAUGAAGAUUAAAUGAGUUAAUAAUAUAAGCAAAGCACUUUGCAUGGCUACUGGGCACGGUGGUUCAUGCCUGUAAUUCCAGCACUUUGGGAGGCCGAAGCAGGUGGAUCACCUGAGGUCAGGAGUUCAAGACCAGCCUGAUCAACAUGGCGAAACCCUGUCUCUAUUAAAAAUACAAAAAAAAUAGCCGGGCAUGGUGGCACGUGCCUGUAAUCCCAGCUACUUGGGAGGCUAAGGCAGGAGAAUCGCUUGAACCUGGGAGGCAGAGGUUGCAGUGAGCCGAGACCUCGCCGUUGCACUCCAGCCUGGUUGACAGAGCAAGACUCUGUCUCAAAAAACAAAAAAACCCCAGCUUUUGUCCAGAGGUUGCUUUUUGUGGGUCUGUACGCUGAGGCCAAGUUCUAUGUAAGCAGAGCCCUCCCACCUCACCUCCAAACAAUGCCUCUAAACCAUCACAAUCUGAAAGGAAAAUAAAUCCCUUUCUUCAAUGGUGACCUGAAGCUAGCCAAGGACCGGGUGCUGGCAGGUGGCCUGCGAGACUGGGUCGGAUCCCGGGUUACUGUCUGAGGAGGGAUGCCGUGCUGUAAGGGUUGGGGAGCCAGUGUCUGGCUUCCUUGUCACCACAAGACCUGUGGUUUCCAGCUCUGUCUGCAUCCAGGUCCCACUAACCAACAGCAGGAGAGAAAACAGUUGUGCACACAGGCGGACGCGCACACGCGCACCUGGCCCCCCAGACGUGCACAGCCCUCAGAGGAAGUGGAGCACCAGAUGUUCUGGGUUUCCUGUUCGACGCUUCCACAGCUGGUCGAGUCUGUGGUUGUGGUUUGUCUGUCUCGGGCUCAUGUGAGAGACAAAAGCUGGGCUGACGGGAAACCUCUUCUCUCGGCCCCCACUCCCCAGCUCUGACUGAUUAGGAAACCUGGCAGGUCAGAAAUUUCCUGAAACACCCAGAGCUGGAUUCUCCCAAGAAGAAGCUGAACCCCCAACUCCCAUCCCUGAGGAGCAGCCCCUGGGCUGAUGAUCAGGACUUACAGAACCUGGGGCGAUGGAAACCUCUACAAAUAUCCCAUUUAGAAAGACCGCCAGCCCUGCCAACAGAAUGAAACGGAGGCCAGGUUGCUAUGGUCUCUACUCCAAUGCCUGACAUUGAGCCGCUGCUGCAAAACACUCAGCACAUGAAGGAAUGAAUGAGGAACAGAGAACUUCACCUUUGGGGGUUGGGUGUACAAGCCCCAACUGGGCCCCAAGUCCCAUAAAUAGCUUUGGAUUCCAACAUACAAGCAUUUGACGCAGCGAGGUGCUGCCGACUUGCUCUGUGACUUGGAGCAAGUCAUUUAGCCUCUCUGGGCCUGGUGUCCUCAUCUGCAGAAUGGAGAUGAUAAUAUCUACUUCACAAAGGUGUGAAGGCCCUGUGAGACACCGCAUGUGGAUUUCCUCGACAUUGUUUGCCCAUCGUAACUGCUCCAGAGAGGCUGGGCUCCCUUUUCUCGUUGCAACACUGCUGUUUAUUUCAGGAGAUACUCUAAAAGGGAAGCAAGCUAAAACAAAGAACAACCAAAAACACUGAUCCCGGGACAACUGCCCGGCAGGACAGCAGAGCAAGGGUACUUGGUGCUCUUCGUUGGGGGGAUGUUGGGAGAAGGGGCUGGAGCCAUCCCAGGGUCUCCAGGCUCUGGAAGGGAGCACCCCAUGUCCUCCUCUGGGUGUGGAAUAGGGUGAGUGUCUUAGGGGUGGAGAGAGAACAGGCAGAGUGUGCUCUCACCCCUUAGCUCUGUAGUGAUUUUAAUGAUUAAGGCUACUGUUCGGUCUGCAUUUGGACCUGAGCAACAGGGACCCCUGCCCAGAGGUCCAUCCUUCAGCAGCGUGCACUGCAUCCCCCUCCACUGCAGCUGACUCUAUGAGAUGAAGCAUCUGUCGCUCAGUGUAGCCAUCAGGUCCACUGCCCCUGAAAUAUGACUGACUAGGUUCAAAUGUUGACUCUGACACUUAGAAGCUGUGCCACCUUGGGGCAAGUUACUUCAUCUCUCUGUGCCUUACUUUCUUCCUUUAUAAAAUGGGUAAAAUAAUAACCACACCAUCGGUUGUCUAUGAAGAUUAAAUGAGUUGAUAAUAUAUGCAAAGCACUUAGCAUGGCUACUGGCACAAGGGUCAGUAAACGUUAACUGUUCCACACAUGAAUGUGUUUGAUUCUUAUAAUGCCCCAUGGGUAGAUUCUGUUAUUAGCUCUGUUUUACACAUGAGAAAACUUAGGCACAGGAGGUAAAGUAACAUUUGCAAGGUCACACCGUUAAGUAGCAAGGCUGAGGCUUUACUCCAGUUCUUUUUUUUUUUUUUUUUUUUGAGGCAUCUCACCAGGCUGGAGUGCAGUGGCACAAUCUCAGCUCACUGCAACCUCUGCCUCCCGGGCUCAAGCAAUUCUCCUGCCUCAGCCUCCCGAGUAGCUGGGAUUACAGGUGUGCACCACCAUGCCCGGCUAAUUUUUGUAUUUUUAGUAGAUACGGAGUUUCGUCAUGUUGGCCAGGCUGGUCUCGAACUCCUGACCUCAGG